AUGGAAAGAGAAAUAAACCGACUUGAUGAAGUUUACCAGCAGCUCUCCUCUCAACUCCACAGGGCAACACACAUACGCAGCCCACCGGAGAAGAAAGAGCCCAGGUUUGACAAACCGCUUCAGGAGCAGCAGGUGAUGCUGGAGCUGCAGAAGUGUACGGUGGAUCAGAGACUGAAGGAGAUGAGAGACAGAUUUUCUAAACUGAGCUCAAGCCAGCGAGCGAGUCCUAAUGAAGACAGACUGGCUCACAGCACAGUCCUGGCUCAGGAAGACAACCAGACUCCCAGCAAACGCAAACCAGACAGCGGAGGAGCAGAGAAACAGACACCUGCUGCAGGACAGUCCAGCAACAAGAAGAUGCAGAGCAAGCAUGUGGACAAAGAUGAGGAAAAGGGUGUGACUGCGUGAGGAAUAAUGUUUGAAAAUGGUGAUUAUUCUAAAAAUAAUGUCUUGUCUUUAUACUGUGUUUUACUCCUACAGAUCUUACAAGUUACAAUCAUUUUAUCCAUUCAUAAUGACUGCGAAACUUGUGUGGCACAGUCACAGACAGUCAGAAGAUAUUUAAUGUUUAAACUACAGUUAUAAUGAGCAGGGCAAGACGAAAUAGAAACAGAAACCAAAAUGUCCUUUCAGUUGUCACUUGUAGAUGUCAUUGCCGUUUAAGACAAAACUCACAUGGAGGAGAUGGAUUUAACAUUUAACACCCCUGGUUUAGAAGCAGUGUUAUGCUUAGCAACUUAGCAAAUGUAGUCACAACCUUAAAACUGUGAAUCUUUAUGGUUUGUUUUUAAUUUUCAUCAAUGUAUGCAUAUAUUUACACUACUGUUCAAACAUGUAGGGUUGGUAAGAUUUUUUAAAAAUGAUUUUGAAAGAAGUCUCUAAAGGAUGUAUUUAUUUGAUCAAAAAAUAUGGUAAAAAACAUUAAUAAUGUAAAAUAUUAUUACAAUUUAAAAUACCGUUUUCUAUUUGAAUAUAUUUUAAAAUGUAAUUCCAGUCUUCAGUGUCACACAAUCUCUCAGAAAUCAUUCUAAUAUCAAGAGACAUUUCUUAUAAUCAGUGUGGAAAACAGUUGUGCUGCUUAUUAUUUUUGUGGAAACCGAGAUACAUUUUUGUUCAGGAUUCUUAAACGAACAUACAAUUCAAGAGAACAGCAUUUCUUUGAAAUAGAAGUCUUUUGAAUUGUCACUUUUGAUCAGUUUAAUGCAUCAUUGCUGAAUGAAAGUAUUAAUUUCUUUAAAAAAUAAAAAAUAAAAAAUCUUACUAACCUAAACAUUUGAAUGUUAUGUAUGUUUUUAUUAAUUAUCAUUCAUUUGAACGUGAUUUCAAAUCAAAAUGUAUAAAAACAACAUCAAACAUCAUCAUGAAAGUGUUAUUUCUUAUGUCAGUACAAGAAGAGGGAAAAUGUUACUAAUUAAACAUGCUAUGCACUUCUGAGCUGUAAUAUGUGUGGCAUGUUUUAUCUGGGCUUUUCCAGUCAAUAAUCUAACAGUUCAUGCACGCUCAUGCUCAGAGCCGGGCUAAACUCUUUUCCUCUAGGGGGAACAGACUGUGAACAGAUUGGGAGGGAGGGGGAGUGCUGGCUGUCAUCAGCUGCUGUCAGUGUUACAACUCUCUGUCCUUGAGCUGAUACGCUCAAGAAGGUUCCAUUGGCUGUGUGCCGUCUGACUUUAUCGCUUUAGAUUAAACAAACAGUGUAUCCACGCAGCAUCCAGGGUGGACUUUCCACUUAACAUACCUGACUCCACGAACUGCUGCUGAAGUAGAUGCAGUGUUUGCAAGGCCCUCAUACAGAAUAAUACUCUCACAUUCAGACUGUAUUGUAGAUGUUUAGAUUUUUUUCCUACUGUAGAUGUGCCAUUCAUUUUUAAUGCCCAUGGACUUUAUGCUUUUGAGAAAAGUAGCUUAUAAAGUUUUAAAAUCCUCUACUGACACUGAUUUAAUUUUUGCAGGCUAAAAAUAAUACAUUAUUAUUAUUAUUAUAUUAAUAUUUAUUAUAAUUGUUAUUAUUAUUAUUAUUAUCACUAACAACAACAGUAAUGACAAUUACCAUUAUUGUUGUUGUUGUUACUACAACAGCAAUAAUAACAACAAUUACUAUAUUAACAAUUGAAGCAACAAAUGUUGUUGUUAUUGUUAAUAUGUUAUUAUUAUCCAUGCAACUAAUAUAAAUAACAUUCCUUAUUUAUUUAUAUAUGUUAAACCUGAAGUUUUGGACUUAAAGGCAAUCUUUGUUUGAGCUCAAAUUGACCACUAAUGAAAUUUUGCAUUUUUGGAUGUCAUUUAAAUUCAAUAUAGUUUCUUCAUUACAAAUUAUGAUCAUAACAGUAUGAGUUUGCAAUUGAAAGUUCAAUUAUGAAUUAAUCACAAUGUUUUGAUUUAAGAUUUGAUUUGACCUUAAAUUUAUUUUAUAGCUUAUAAAUAUUUAUUCUUAAUUUUUUCAUUUAAUUAUAAUUAUUUUAACAUUAAAUAUUAUUAUCAUCAUCAUUACAACUAAUAUGAAUAACAGCUACAACAAUAAGAACAACAACAACACAAUCAGUAAUAAUAACGACAAUUACUAUUAUCAUUGCUGUUGUUAAGAACAACAAUAGCAACAUUAUUAUUAUUAUUAUAGUUAUUAACAACAAUGAACAUUAUUGUUGUUGUUGUCACUACAAUGACAACAGCAACAACAAUAAUGUUCACUGUUGUUGUUAAUAAUGAUACUAAUAAUAAUUAUUAUUAUUACUAUUGUUAUUAUUAUGUUAUUCUUAUCCAUACAACUAAUAUAAACAGCAACAACAAUGACACUACCCAUUAUUUUUUUUUUUAAAUACUAAUUAUUAUUAUUGGAGUUGUAACAACAACAACAAUAUUAUUAUUAUUAUUAUUUGUGCAUAUCAAGUUAGAGUUUACUUGUUAGUAUAACAAAAACUUUUACUGCCUGGCAAACACUGUAUUUCCUUCAGGAAAUGCAAAUGAUUUUGCUUUUGCUUUGCUGUUUUUCUGAGUGUUUGUUUAAUAUACAUAAUUUAUGAACAGGUUGUCAUGCUAUAUUUCUGGAGGAGGUAGCUGUGAUCAUGCCUAUUUCUGUCCUGGCUCUCUUCAUUACAAAAGGACAGCUGCAAUACCUGAGAGCACUCCACUUGAGUAAUAAACUCAUAGUCUGAAAUCUAGUCUACAGUCCAGUGUCGCUUAUUACAGAGACCACUGUUUUAUUUGCAGAAAUAUUCUCCUCUGUUAUAGGGCUGGAGAUCCACUGAUAUGUACAUUAAGGGAGCCUCUUCCUGUAAGUGUUGUCAUUUAUUAUUCAUGGCAUAUAAAUGUUUUAAAUGGAAAGUGUGUCCAUUUGUAGAUCUUCUAGAAACAACUGUUGAUAAUGCCUCUUAGUAAAUAACAAGUAUCUGUCUGCAUUAAAACUGACAGAGAAAGAAAAACUAAUUUUUCGAGCUUAUUACUUAGAUCACCUUUGGAUAACUUUUCUACUGAAAUACAUUAGACAAAGUUGGACUGGAAAAAUAAAUCAAUUAAUAGAACAGGGUGCCAUAUUUCACUUGCCUGUAGUUUAACAGACUGAGCAAAAUACAUGUAGUAAACCUGAAAUUGCUCUAGGUCUCUAGAAAUGCAUUUCUUCAUUUUACAUGGUUUACACCAGUAAAUAAAGGGCCAGAGAUCAUCUGAAGCAGAGAGAUUUCAUUUGAAAGGUUUGUAAUGUAGCACAUAAUACCACACUUCCUUUAGUGUUAGACAGGCAUUUGUUUUCGAGUCCAGUGAUGUGUGAAAAUGGCUUGCACAAUCUUGCUUUUGGUUGUUAUUCAGUGAUAACGAAUGUGAACUCUCCGUGCAGUAUGUAUAAAUCCUCUUGAGAUAUGAUUAUUUAUUUUGUGUGCAUCAUUACAUAAAUUGCUGUACUUUCUUUAUUUCAAAAGACCAUGGAAUGGGAAACAUUGCCACACACUUAACAGAACAUAAAGAUGGUAAAACUUUGAUAGUUUCAUCAAUAAUAUUUGAUAACAGUACUGGUAAGGUGCAUUGCAGAUCCAAAUGUUUGGUUGUCUGUCCAGUUUUGAUUUUUCAGCCUUUCCAGAUCUUUUAGCAUGCUGGGUAAGAAGCAGACCUGAUGGUGCUGGUAAAUAAUGUCUGUAGGGAGGUUUUAAAACCUGAUGCAGCAGAGCCACUGGUCAAGAAUGGAAUUAUGAGGUGAGAUUGAUGGGAGGAGGUCAGAAGAGAUAUUUUGGAGGUUUGUAUGGAGAGGCAGUUCAGCAGUAGGUGUUUAAAAAGCUGGAGUGUUUCCUCAUGGGAGAUGGUUUCAAACAGAGAUGGAGUAGGAUGAGGCUGUAGGAUGUGGCAAGUGUUCCCUGAUGGAAAUAAUUUACAAGAGGCAUGUGCCAGGUUUUGAUUGUGAUUGCAUUUAAACUUCAAAGCAUAGAUGUAGUGAAGAUUUAGUUUUUGUCAGUAGAAAGUAAAAAAGAAUGCUUAAAACACACACAAACACAGUUUUUUUUUGUUUUUUUUGCAAUAGUAAGAGGCCUGAAAUAGCACAGUCAGAAUAACACACAAUCUUUGUCAUCUGUAUAAACUUGUUCUAAAAAGUUGAAAGGAAUCCUUUAAUUGGUAAAUACUUCAGCAGCAAACAAAGAGACUGCUCUGCCCAGUUUCUGCAGACUCAAAUAACAGCCGCAGUAUUUCUUGACCUACUCAGUAUACGGUGUUUCAGACAGGUCUUUUCUCUGAGAAUCAUGCAGGU
rnacentral:lncRNA from 1 species